rnacentral:lncRNA from 1 species
UAUUAUUUUAUUCUUAUGGCUACGUAGACUCUAAUUAUUUUAAAAUUUUAAUAUGUGAAAAUGUCAGGUCAUUAUCACUCUUCACCACACGACCAGUGGCAGAGGUAGAGUGUAAAGAGGGGGGUCAUCUGACCCCUAAAAAUUUUGUUACAGAAAAAUUUAUUUGUAUUUUUGAUGAGAAAGCUAGUGAAAAGUUGUAAAUCAUUAUAUUGACCCCGAUAACAUAUACUCAAAAUUAACAUAAAACUCAUAACUUAAUUUAUUGACCAGUUAAACUUUUUGGCUAGCUCCGCCACUGCAGACAGACCACAGGCUUCGUUUAAAUGUUUUUUUUUCAACCAUAUAUGAAAUGUUAAUACUUAAUAUACAUAUGUUAAUAGAUGCGGUCCCUAAAAAUAUGCUUAAAGAUAUACAAAAAUAGAACAUUUACAACAUGAUGAGAAAGAAACAAAAUCUUUCACAAACAAUAAUGGUGCAACUAAAAAGAAAAAUCGUAAGUUCAAAAAAAAAAAAGAAGAAAAAUCGUAUUAGUGAAUAAUGAAGCAAAAAUAUAAACACAGAAAUGCUGACAAAAAAUAAACAAAGAAAUGAAAUAAUAUGAACAGAAAAAAAUGAUAUGAAAAACAAAGAGACAAAAGAUGAUGGAGACCAGACGUCAAAACAAGUGGGGACGUCGAAAUUGACCUUUAUUGAGCCACAUUUGGAUAAUGUUCCUUUAAUCUCAUUUUCUUCCGGUCUCAUUCAAUCUAAAUGUUUGAUUAAUUACUAUUGGGAUGCCAAAGAGGUUGUUGACUUGAAUCAGAAGACUGCAACUGUAUAUCGAAAUCAUAGAUUAGUUGGAUUGACUGAAACCGAAC